GAACCUGGGUCCGGGACCCUGUCUGGUGGGUAGUUUGACUGGGGCGGUCGCCUCCCAAAGAGUAACGGAGGCGCGCGAUGGUGGGCUCAGAGCGGUCGGAAAUCGCUCGUUGAGUGCAAUGGCAUAAGCCCGCCUGACUGUGAGACUGACAGGUCGAGCAGAGUCGAAAGACGGCCAUAGUGAUCCGGUGGUCCCGCAUGGAAGGGCCAUCGCUCAACGGAUAAAAGGUACUCUGGGGAUAACAGGCUGAUACC
rnacentral:rRNA from 13 species